rnacentral:tRNA from 1 species
GCGGGAAUAGCUCAGGGGUAGAGCACAACCUUGCCAAGGUUGGGGUCGCGAGUUCGAAUCUCGUUUCCCCGCUCCA